GACGAACGCUGGCGGCGUGCCUAAUACAUGCAAGUAGAACGCUGAAGGAGGAGCUUGCUUCUCUGGAUGAGUUGCGAACGGGUGAGUAACGCGUAGGUAACCUGCCUGGUAGCGGGGGAUAACUAUUGGAAACGAUAGCUAAUACCGCAUAAGAGUAGAUGUUGCAUGACAUUUGCUUAAAAGGUGCAAUUGCAUCACUACCAGAUGGACCUGCGUUGUGUUAGCUAGUUGGUGGGGUAACGGCUCACCAAGGCGACGAUACAUAGCCGACCUGAGAGGGUGAUCGGCCACACUGGGACUGAGACACGGCCCAGACCCCUACGGGAGGCAGCAGUAGGGAAUCUUCGGCAAUGGACGGAAGUCUGACCGAGCAACGCCGCGUGAGUGAAGAAGGUUUUCGGAUCGUAAAGCUCUGUUGUAAGAGAAGAACGAGUGUGAGAGUGGAAAGUUCACACUGUGACGGUAUCUUACCAGAAAGGGACGGCUAACUACGUGCCAGCAGCCGCGGUAAUACGUAGGUGGCAAGCGUUAUCCGGAUUUAUUGGGCGUAAAGAGAGUGCAGGCGGUUUUCUAAGUCUGAUGUGAAAAGCCUUCGGCUUAACCGGAGAAGUGCAUCGGAAACUGGAUAACUUGAGUGCAGAAGAGGGUAGUGGAACUCCAUGUGUAGCGGUGGAAUGCGUAGAUAUAUGGAAAGAACACCCCUGGCGAAGGCGGGCUACCUGGUCUGCGCCUGACGCUGACACUCGAAGGCAUGGGUAGCGAGAGGAAUAGAUACCCUAAUAGUCCCAAGGGCGAAUUCCACAAUGGAUAUGGAGGUUGGCGAUCCGGUCCACCGUCCACCGGGGCGCGGGGGCGGGUUUGGGGCCGUAAGAGGAUUUUUUACUACUCCCUCCGGCCGAGCGUGCACAUCACUGAUGCCAUCAAAAGGGGUCAGAAGAACGGAACCCAGCAUCUACCGUAUUGUAGUGAUUGAUGAGCACCGCCGCCCCGCCCUCGGCGUGUACAAAAAAGAAAAAAGAGAGAGUUAGGCAGCGGCGCGCUGGGGGACGCGAUGAUGUGGAACGGCCACCGACCCGCGCAGGCCCCCACUCUCGUGU
rnacentral:rRNA from 1 species